rnacentral:rRNA from 1 species
AAUUUUGGGCAAUGGGCGCAAGCCUGACCCAGCGACGCCGCGUGGAGGAUGAAGGCCUUCGGGUUGUAAACUCCUGUCAGGUGGGAAGAAAUGCCCGUCGGUAAAUAAUCGACGGGAGUUGACGGUACCACCAAAGGAAGCCCCGGCUAACUCCGUGCCAGCAGCCGCGGUAAUACGGAGGGGGCAAGCGUUAUUCGGAUUUACUGGGCGUAAAGCGCACGUAGGCGGCCAGGCAUGUCGACGGUGAAAGCCCUCGGCUCAACCGAGGAAUUGCCUUCGAAACUGCCUGGCUUGAGUCCGGGAGGGGGGAGCGGAAUUCCCAGUGUAGCGGUGAAAUGCGUAGAUACUGGGAGGAACACCGGUGGCGAAGGCGGCUCCCUGGACCGGUACUGACGCUGAGGUGCGAAAGCGUGGGUAGCAAACAGGAUUAGAUACCCUGGUAGUCCACGCCGUA